GAUGAACGCUGGCGGCAUGCUUAACACAUGCAGGUCGGACGAGCAGUCGUGGUUCCAGUGGCGGACGGGUGAGCAACGGGUAAGAACCUGACCUGGGGAGGGGAAAAACAGCUGGCAAGGGCUGCUAAUAGACCGUAGGCUGAGGAGCGAAAGGAGGAAUCAACCCGAGGGGGGGCUUGCGACUGAUUAGCUAGUUGGUGAGGCAAUAGCUGACCAAGGCGAUGAACAGUAGCUGCUCCGAGAGGAUGAUCAGCCACACUGGGACUGAGACACGGACCAGACUCCUACGGGAGACGGCAGUGGGGAAGUUUCCGCAAUGGGCGAUAGGCUGACGGAGCCAUGCCGCGGGGAGGUAGAAGGCUCACGGGUCGAGAACUGUUUUUCCCGGAGAACACGCAAUGACGGUAUCUGGUGAAUAAGCAUCGGCUAACUCUGUG
rnacentral:rRNA from 1 species